UGGGGAAUAUUGGACAAUGGGCGCAAGCCUGAUCCAGCAAUGCCGCGUGUGUGAAGAAGGCCUUCGGGUUGUAAAGCACUUUUAUCAGGAGCGAAACGCUGUCGGCUAAUACCCGGCGGAACUGACGGUACCUGAGGAAUAAGCACCGGCUAACUUCGUGCCAGCAGCCGCGGUAAUACGAAGGGUGCAAGCGUUAAUCGGAAUUACUGGGCGUAAAGCGUGCGUAGGCGGUUUCUUAAGUCUGCUGUGAAAUCCCCGGGCUCAACCUGGGAAUGGCAGUGGAUACUGGGAGGCUAGAGUGUGUCAGAGGGUGGUGGAAUUCCCGGUGUAGCGGUGAAAUGCGUAGAGAUCGGGAGGAACAUCAGUGGCGAAGGCGGCCACCUGGGANANCUGACGCUGAGGCACGAAAGCGUGGGGAGCAAACAGGAUUAGAUNCCCUGGUAGUCCACGCCCUAAACGAUGCGAACGUGGAUGUUGGUCUCAACUCGGAGAUCAGUGUCGAAGCUAACGCGUUAAGUUCGCCGCCUGGGGAGUACGGUCGCAAGACUGAAACUU
rnacentral:rRNA from 1 species